ensembl:ncRNA Y56A3A.39 ncRNA
AAUGAAGAAUACGGUGACAUUUGUUGAUAUUCCGGCUUCCCAAUGACCAGCCUCAACAGGUAUUCCUGAUCUUCCACAUUUCGAGUAAAGAAUCCACAGCUGUAACCAAGCCGUCCACGUCCAGGAAGCCCGGGGUGCAUCUCACUCUCGUGAAGUCGAUCUUGAGUAGGCUUCAACGACACCAGCCCGCAAAAUGCUGCAGGGAUCCGAAGACUUCCCACCAGAUCGUUGCCAAUUCCAAAUACAGUACCACCGGCUGCAAGUAGAGCAGCCUCUCCACCAGACGAUCCACCAGGAGUACGAGAAAAGUCCCACGGGUUCUUGGUAGUUCCAUAGACUGGAUUAGAAGUGAUAUAGGAUAAAAGUCCCUGUGGAAGGUUUGUCAAGCAGAAAGGGAUGGCUCCUUG